GUGUAUGAGAGUUUGAUCCUGGCUCAGGAUGAACGCUGGCGGUAUGCCUAACACAUGCAAGUCGAACGCAAGUUAUUUGUACUUUUAUUUUGUUCGUAGCUGGUACAUGGUAAGUAUUUUCCUACCAUCUACCAACUACCAACCUUUUAAUCAAGUACGUUAAAAAUAUCUUGAGUGGCGGACGGGUGAGUAACACGUUGGUACCUGCCCCAAAGUGGGGAAUAAUUCACCGAAAGGUGGACUAAUACCCCAUAGUCUACGGUUUAUCCGUAGUAAAGCUUCGGCGCUUUGGGAGGGGCCUGCGUCCGAUUAGUUUGUUGGUAGGGUAAUGGCCUACCAAGACUACGAUCGGUAGCUGGAUCGAGAGGUUGACCAGCCACACUGGGACUGAGAUACGGCCCAGACUCCUACGGGAGGCAGC
rnacentral:rRNA from 1 species